CCGAGUAAAUGGGUCUCCAUGGCCCGUACUCCAACCCCAUGUGUAUCUUGCCUUGUUGCUUUGGCGGGCCGGUCAGCCCAGCGUUGCCGCCGGCUUCGUGCCGGUCAGCGCCCGCCAGAGGACCCUCAAACUCUUGUUUUAUCAGCGUCGUCUGAGCAAAAUGGUUAAUAUUUA
rnacentral:misc_RNA from 1 species